AUACGUAGGUGACAAGCGUUAUCCGGAUUUACUGGGCGUAAAGGGCGUGUAGGCGGUCUUGCAAGUCAGAAGUGAAAUUCCUGAGCUCAACUCGGGCGCUGCUUCUGAAACUGCAGGACUUGAGUGCUGGAGGGGAUAGCGGAAUUCUUAGUGGAGCGGUGAAAUGCGUAGAUAUAUGGAGGAACACCAGUGGCGAAGGCGACUCUCUGGUCUGUAACUGACGCUGAGGCUCGAAAGCGUGGGGAGCAAACAGGAUUAGAUACCCUGGUAGUCCACGCCCUAAACGAUGAAUGCUAGGUGUAAGAGGUACCGACCCCUUUUGUGCCGGAGUCAACACAAUAAGCAUUCCGCCUGGGGAGUACGGCCGCAAGGUUGAAACUAAAAUGAAUUGGCGGGG
rnacentral:rRNA from 1 species